AGCAGUCCUUGUUGCCUCGUGUAGAAAGUUCAUCUGGAAUUAAGGGCAGAUAAUGUAAAAGCCUCCUUUUAUUUCUCCCCAAGGUGCAGGCCAACAACAUUUUGGGUUUCAUCAAAGACGGCAACUGUCAGGGUACACCGUAGGCUUUAGGUAGCUCACAGAAAUGAGGGGAAAUUUCUCAGCUCCUACGGGAAGAAGAUGGUAUAGCAGCAAUGCACCAAAGCACGUCAGAUCUUGGAUUUCAAGCCAACUCACUGAAACGGAGUCAAGAGGAGGAAAGAGGUUCUGUGUAUGCACCCGUGUCCUCAUCAUUCACCACAUAGUUCUGCUGAUGGGAAAGAGAGGCUGCCGGAAGGAAACAGAAGUUCAUCAGGGCUGGCAAAAUAUUAAUCUGGACGCUCACGGAUGGGCAGUGAUGCGGGCUCUCCGGCAGCAGGCGUCCCCUUCAUGUUCCUGCUACCUGUGGGCUGCACAAGUCCACCAGCCCACCCUUGCCACCGGGAGCACUCACCAUGACGCGCCAUGCAUCCUCUGUUCUAGAUCUACCCCCAAACUGCUUUCUGAGACGAGGUCAGGGAGGGGAACCAAGAGAACCGAAAAGGUGAACGGAACAGCUCAGCAAAGAAGCAUGGGCAGAAUCAGCCACUUCUCCAAAGAUCCCUGGUUCUUUUUCACUGGAGACGAUCAAGGGCACAGAGAAUGCUCAUUGCUCCCGAGGUGUCAUGACUUUUAGGUUCUCUCAGCUGAUGGAACAAGGAGACAUAAGGAUGGACACUAACCUGUGCGUACACACGUAUCUAUAAAUAUUUCUCGGUAUCAUCUGUAUCUGUGUUAAGCUAAGUAUGAGUUCACAGGGAUGUCUCUAAUGCAUUACCAUACGGAUACGUCUCGCCUCCUGUCCUUAUUUAUUUAUAAUCUCCCACUCCAAUAUAAGAAACCAGAUCCCACCGUCCCCCUCCAUCAACUUAAUUGUCCAA